CAAGAAAUUUAAAGUUUAUGGGGAAUACCUUGGUAUUCAAAAGCGAUGAAGGACGUGGUUACCUGCGAAAAUCUUCGAGUAAUUGGGAACAAAUUUUAAUUCGAAGGUCUCCGAAUGAGGAAACUCUAAAACUGCUUAUUGAUUUGAUAAAUAAGAAAGAGUAAACCUAGAAAACUGAAACAUCUUAGUAUCUAGAGGAAUAGAAAGUAAUAACGAUUCUCUUAGUAGCGGCGAGCGAAAAGAGAAAAGCUAAAACUUAGAAGA
rnacentral:rRNA from 12 species